rnacentral:rRNA from 1 species
AUUGAACGCUGGCGGCAUGCUUUACACAUGCAAGUCGAACGGUAACAGGCCUUCGGGUGCUGACGAGUGGCGAACGGGUGAGUAAUGCAUCGGAACGUACCCAGAGGUGGGGGAUAACGCAGCGAAAGCUGUGCUAAUACCGCAUGUGAUCUGAGGAUGAAAGCGGGGGACCGAGCAGCAAUGUUUGGCCUCGCGCCUUUGGAGCGGCCGAUGUCGGAUUAGCUAGUUGGUGGGGUAAAGGCCUACCAAGGCGACGAUCCGUAGCUGGUCUGAGAGGACGACCAGCCACACUGGGACUGGGACACGGCCCAGACUCCUACGGGAGGCAGCAGUGGGGAAUGUUGGACAAUGGGCGCAAGCCUGAUCCAGCAGUGCCGCGUGCGGGAAGAAGGCCUUCGGGUUGUAAACCGCUUUUGGCAGGAACGAACCGGUUUCCGCUAAUACCGGGCGCUAAUGACGGUACCUGCAGAAUAAGCACCGGCUAACUACGUG